rnacentral:lncRNA from 1 species
AUCGGCUCUUUUCCUCUUUCCAGGCAGGGCACAGUGGCAGCAGACACUUGUCACGUGGCAGGCUUCUGGGCCGAUGAUGUAUGACCUGCUGGUGCUACUGAAUGGUGCCCUUUGUUCCCGGAGAUCCCAUGUGCCCCCUUUUUAUGAAGUUGUUGAUUCAGAGGGGCAGGAAAGCUCCACAAAUCCCACUGCAGGCCUAGCUCUUGCCAUGCCCAGGUGAGGCAGCGCAGGGACUGCAUGUUUCCCAGAAAGCUGGUAGGAAGCUGUGGGCUCUCUCAUGCCAAAAUACCCCUUUAGGCACAGCUUUCUUUACCUUAGACUAAGCCAACUCACUGGAGAGCACCCAGAAAAGACAUCUAACCUUCUGCCCAAGUUCUAGGAGGUAUGAAGUCUCCCAGACAGGGCACUAAGGUAUGCAGUAUUCCCCACAGGUUACCAGCUGCAAAAAGGAGCCCCCUUCCCUGUUCGCUGGACCAAGAAGCCCAAGGUGGGAGCCAGCAGCUCAGGGAGGAAGGAACUUGGCCUCUAUUUGCAGGACGAAAUCCAGCCAGAGACCCCAGAGCCAGGUGGGAAGACUCCGACAACAGGAGAUAGGGCUGACUUCUUAGCCAGCAGGAAAUCUCUGCGUCCUGAGAGGAUGAGGAUUAAAAGGCACCCUUCCCCUGGCCUCUCUUCUCCUGGCUUCCAGACUUGGUGAGGUGAACCCAGAGUGGAUUUCAGCUCAUUCUUUAUCUCUCCAUCUUGUGGCCCAGCUUCGGGGACCUAGCAAAGGACUGGACAAGAAAAGGGCUUUGCCAGGAUUUGACUCAGCCUUUCUGGCAUGGAGACAGCUGAUGGACCUUCAUAUCUAGCUGCUCCAGGAAGCCUCAGGCUCUGGCUCUGGUGCUGACCCAGUCUUAAGUUCCUUCUCCAAAGCAGCUGCACAAAUCCCACCAAGAAUUCUCUACCUGUGAGACCACUUCCCCCAAACUGCUGGGUUUUGUGUUGACUGCUAAUAGGUAACAGAUUCUUAUCACCUGAAAAUAAGACCUAGCUGAGAAAGAUUCAGCCUUCAAAAGUAGAGAUCAAAAAUGCCAGCCCCAGGGCCUGGGAUUUAGCUCAGUGGUUCCGGCACCUGCCUUGCAAGCACAAGGUCCCGAGUUCGAUCCCCAGUACCAAAAAACAAAAAAUGCCGGCCCCAAUCAGCCUAUUCUUGCCUUACCUGCCAUCACUGUUCUGGCUUGGUAGCUACUCUGUAAGGCAGUCUUUCCCAACUAGGUCUUAUUUUCAGAAACAUGGUAUCGUGAGCUCAAAGGUACACUGCUGACUGAUCCUCAAUUACUUCAUUCUGAACUCAGAGGCUCUGUGGCACAAAUGUUCAUAGACACUGAGGGCCCCACCUGGCACUUGAAUAAAAAUACAAGCAAAAGGGGAGACAGACACCAUUGCCAGGCCAAGAAAUGACAAGCCAGUAAUAAAGAGCAUCCACACACGUCACAGUUGUAAGGUGGCUUUAUGUUCGAAUAUGUAAAAUAAAAUGUCCAUGCUAUAUAACAAAACACUUGAAGUUCCAUAUCACCUGUUAGCUAAUGUGUUUUCUAAUAAAGCUUUAUCUGGAGUGUGUGUUUAUAUAAUAUAUAUGCUUUAUCUAAACCGUUCUUAUUUUUU